rnacentral:lncRNA from 1 species
UUAGAUCUUUCCUCUAUUCUCAUCCAAUACUGAAUUUUGACACUGAGUUCAAUCUUUUUUUGAUAAUUGCAACUUUCCAAGUAGCUCAAAUUCUUGAUACUAUGGAAAUGAAAAGAUUAAAGAUGUUCCCAGAAGCAUAUUUCAGAAUUUAUAUGUACAUUUUGAUAGUGUGCAUAGAAACAAUGCUUCUACAUUGGAGAUCAAACCAAAGAAAUGACCCAUGCAUGGUCGCUUAGGUCAGUAAGAACAGAAGUGUUAUACUGGGGCAAACUUAGGAAGAGAAACUACUAUCUGAUAAGUUCUAUAGGACCCCAAAUCAAUUUGCGCACACAGAAUCCUCCAUGAUGUGGAUAGAUCUAUGGAUAGAUCUUGAUAGUUAAGGAUCUGGAAAAUAAGGUUAUGUGAGUUCCCCCUAUCUGUAGCAAACCAAACUGCCUGGUCCCAUAGUCUAGUAGUAUUCACACUGUGGAUCUUAUCUCAUAGGAGUUCUGUGUUUCUUCUCCUGCCUAAAGAGAACCAGUAGCCUGUGUUGCUUUCAAUUACAUUUUUUUUAAUAGAGGCACACUAUUACUGUUACCUUAUAAAUCUUUUGUGUUUCUUGAUGGGAAUAAUUUCCAUAUCAGAUAUGAAAAAUUAUAUCUCAUAUUUGCUCCCUGUCUUAGUUCCUCUUAACUGUCUCCUGCCUAUCUUAUGGACAACAGGACCAGCUGAAGAGAAUAAUUCUCAUUGCUUAUAUUUGUGUCACCAGGUGUGCUUGAAACAAACAUUAAAAAGUGAAAUGGUUCAUGGGAUUUCAUAGUAAAUUAAUCAGAAACAUAAUAAUUGCUCAGUAAAUUAUUUUUGAACCUUGAAAAAAUUAGUCAUUUUCCCAUUACUUUACCUGAAACCCAAAUGAAAGAAACUUAUUGGAGAAGAUCUUUCAUCUAUAGCCUGAACAGAAUUAACAAAAAUGUAAAAUAUAUAAACUGAAACAGACGUUGAUGAACUUUUCAUGAUUCUUGUGCAUGUAAGUGACUGCAUUCAAC